rnacentral:tRNA from 1 species
GAGGUUGUGGCUCAGUGGUAGAGUGCUCGCCUAGCAUGUGUGAGGCCCUGGGUUCAAUCCUCAGCACCACA